rnacentral:rRNA from 1 species
UCCGGUGAUGAUGGCGGAGUGGACACACCUGUACUCAUACCGAACACAGAAGUUAAGCACUCCAGCGGCGACAAUAGUUGGGUCUGCCCCUGCGAAGACAGCACGUUGCCGGUC